rnacentral:rRNA from 1 species
AAUGUGCCCCAUCCGCNUCNGUGGAUGGUGUAAAGGAAGCUUCGGCCUCCGCAUCGAGAUGGGCCCGCGGCCCAUUAGCUUGUUGGUGGGGUAAAGGCCUACCAAGGCUUCNAUGGGUAGCUGGUCUGANAGGACGAUCAGCCACACUGGGACUGANACACGGCCCANACUCCUACGGGAGGCNNCANUGGGGAAUCUUGCNCAAUGCGCGAAAGCGUGACGCAGCAACGCCGCGUGGGGGAAGACGGCCUUANGGUUGUAAACCCCUUUCAGGAGGGACGAAGGUCGGCGCGUUANUANCGGGUCCGACUGACGGUACCUCCAC